rnacentral:misc_RNA from 1 species
UACAGAGGCCCCAAGCAUUAUCCGGAAUCACUGGGCGUAAAGGGUGUGUAGGCGGUUCUGUUAGUCUCUUGUGAAAGGCUUUGGGCUUAACCCAGAGAACGCGGGGGAAACGGCAGAACUUUGAGGAUGCGAGAGGUUAAGGGAACUCAUGGUGUAGGGGUGAAAUCCGUUGAUAUCAUGGGGAACACCAAAUGCGAAGGCACUUAACUGGCGCACUCCUGACGCUGAGACACGAAAGCGUGGGUAGCGAACGGG